rnacentral:tRNA from 1 species
GGGGGUGUAGCUCAGUGGUAGAGUGCUUGCCUAGCAUGCAUGAGGCCCUGUGUUCAACUCCA